ACGAACGCUGGCGGCGUGCUUAACACAUGCCAGUCGAACGGAAAGGCCCUGCUUUUGUGGGGUGCUCGAGUGGCGAACGGGUGAGUAACACGUGAGUAACCUGCCCUUGACUUUGGGAUAACUUCAGGAAACUGGGGCUAAUACCGGAUAGGAGCUCCUGCUGCAUGGUGGGGGUUGGAAAGUUUCGGCGGUUGGGGAUGGACUCGCGGCUUAUCAGCUUGUUGGUGGGGUAGUGGCUUACCAAGGCUUUGCCGGGUAGCCGGCCUGAGAGGGUGACCGGCCACAUUGGGACUGAGAGACGGCCCAGACGGGUACGGUAGGCAGCAGUGGGGAAUAUGGCACAAUGGGCGGAAGCCUGAUGCAGCGACGCCGCGUGCGGAAUGACGGCCUUCGGGUUGUAAACCGCUUUCGCCUGUGACGAAGCGUGAGUGACGGUAAUGGGUAAAGAAGCACCGGCUAACUACGUG
rnacentral:rRNA from 1 species